rnacentral:rRNA from 1 species
ACCAUCGGCUCUAUACAUGCAGUCGACGCGUCUCCGUUGAUGAUUUUAGGUGCUUGCACUUGAAAGAUUUAACAUUGAGACGAGUGGCGAACUGGUGAGUAACACGUGGGUAACCUGCCCUUGAAGUAGGGGAUAACACUUGGAAACAGGUGCUAAUACCGUAUAACAACCAAAACCACCUGGUUUUGGUUUAAAAGACGGCUUCGGCUGUCACUUUAGGAUGGACCCGCGGCGUAUUAGCUUGUUGGUAAGGUAACGGCCUACCAAGGCGAUGAUACGUAGCCGACCUGAGAGGGUAAUCGGCCACAUUGGGACUGAGACACGGCCCAAACUCCUACGGGAGGCAGCAGUAGGGAAUCUUCCACAAUGGACGAAAGUCUGAUGGAGCAACGCCGCGUGAGUGAUGAAGGGUUUCGGCUCGUAAAACUCUGUUGUUGGAGAAGAACAGGUGUCAGAGUAACUGUUGACAUCUUGACGGUAUCCAACCAGAAAGCCACGGCUAACUACGUGCCAGCAGCCGCGGUAAUACGUAGGUGGCAAGCGUUGUCCGGAUUUAUUGGGCGUAAAGCGAGCGCAGGCGGUUUUUUAGGUCUGAUGUGAAAGCCUUCGGCUUAACCGGAGAAGUGCAUCGGAAACCGGGAGACUUGAGUGCAGAAGAGGACAGUGGAACUCCAUGUGUAGCGGUGAAAUGCGUAGAUAUAUGGAAGAACACCAGUGGCGAAGGCGGCUGUCUGGUCUGUAACUGACGCUGAGGCUCGAAAGCAUGGGUAGCGAACAGGAUUAGAUACCCUGGUAGUCCAUGCCGUAAACGAUGAGUGCUAAGUGUUGGAGGGUUUCCGCCCUUCAGUGCUGCAGCUAACGCAUUAAGCACUCCGCCUGGGGAGUACGACCGCAAGGUUGAAACUCAAAGGAAUUGACGGGGGCCCGCACAAGCGGUGGAGCAUGUGGUUUAAUUCGAUGCUA